GAGGGUAAAGCUCAGUGGUAGAGCAUUCGACUGCUAAUCGAGAGGUACUCGGUUCAAACCCGGAUGUCCUCU
rnacentral:tRNA from 1 species